rnacentral:rRNA from 1 species
GACGAACGCUGGCGGCGUGCUUAACACAUGCAAGUCGAACGAUGAAGCCGGAGCUUGCUCUGGUGAAUUAGUGGCGAACGGGUGAGUAACACGUGAGUAACCUGCCCUUGACUCUGGGAUAACUGCGGGAAACUGUAGCUAAUACCGGAUACGACCCUCGGAGGCAUCUCCUGGGGGUGGAAAGAAUUUCGGUCAAGGAUGGACUCGCGGCCUAUCAGCUAGUUGGUGAGGUAAAGGCUCACCAAGGCGACGACGGGUAGCCGGCCUGAGAGGGUGACCGGCCACAGGGGGACUGAGACACGGCCCAGACUCCUACGGGAGGCAGCAGUGGGGAAUAUUGCACAAUGGGCGCAAGCCUGAUGCAGCAACGCCGCGUGGGGGAUGACGGCCUUCGGGUUGUAAACCUCUUUUAGCAGGGAAGAAGCGAAAGUGACGGUACCUGCAGAAAAAGCACCGGCUAACUACGUGCCAGCAGCCGCCGUAA